AAUUAUUAAAAACCCUUCGACCAGAACUGUUUGGUGCGCCGCUCAUAGUCAACCAUUACCCAGUUAUGAGGGUUCUGUAAAUUUGAACGCUGUGUGUUCAUAUGUUAAGAAACGGGUGAAUAACACAUCGGACAAUCCCAAGAAGCGACUCUCUCUCAAAACAUCUUCACUACUCCAGAGUGGAAUGACUAGACUUCUUCAGAAACGCGCUGACAACUUAUUCACCGAAUGCUUCGAUGAGAACCAAUAUUCCAACGAGACUAUAGACAGUUCAACACGAUCACUAUCUGGGACAUCAACAACAACACCGUCACCACCUGGAAUAGCAACAACAACAUCACCACUAUCCUUAAUAGCAACAACAACACCAC